ensembl:lncRNA
AUGAGUGCUUGUGAGAUUUUUCUUUGUCUAAGGGCUGAACAUCACAUCGAUUGCUCUGCGCUCCAGAACACGGUGAUGGUUUUUCGGCGAGAACGGACAAAUACACAUUUAAUUCACACUGACAAGCUGAACCAACAUAUGUUAUUAUUACCGGCUCAGAUCUCAUUAAUAAUUGAUGUCUGGCCAGAACAGUGAGAAAGACCAGAGAGAAAUCACCGCUGCAUCAGCGCGUGCAGUCUCACGAGCUCACAAUAAAAAGCAUUUUUUUAUAGUUUUUAAGAGCUUUUUAAAAAUAAAAUAUUACCGCGAAUGCACACAAUCCACCCAUUAGAACACAACAAGAGCUAAAUUCGGGUAUUUGUGCGCUGUUUGAUUGUGAAAAUUGAAAGACUAUUUGACAGCGCGAGACUGUCUAAGGGCAGAAUAACAUCGAUCUCUCGAGCUCCAGAGGACGCUGAUUCUGGCAAGAACGAACAAAUCAAGAACAAGGUUAUUUCAAAAUACAUAAUAGCAUGGCGAAUAUAAACGAAAACAGUCACGUAAACAUAAACAGUUGAGAAAUAAAUCUGAAGUGUAUCAUGAUACUGGAUUUGAAUAUUAAAGUGACUGCAUUUACCAGCUGCUUUCUGUCUUUAAUUUUAAUCUAUAAAAACAGAAAAUCAUUCGUCUUGGCUGCUUUUUUUGUAUGUAUUCAUGUAUUUAUUAUUAUUAUUAUGCUCUUACAAGAAUUAAUCUAUAUUUAAUUAAAUUAAAUUUCUGCAUCUAAACACCUAUAAACCUAAAAACAUGCUCUAUUAAACUAUUGUUAGCAAUUUCUUUAUCGUCCAGUUUAACUGGUGUACACACUUUUAUUUUCAUAAUAAAUUUGUUUUUUUUUUUAGAUAAUAGACAGUUACAGUGGUCUAUAAUAAAUAUUAACAGGUUUUGUUCAAGCUGCUUAAAAUGUUUGAAGUAGGCUCAUUUUUUUAAAUGUAAAUCCUAAAAAAAAAACAAAAAAAAAAAAAAAACUGGGAAACAGCCAUAUUUACGAAAAGGUGCUUAACCUAUAGAAAAAAAUAAAACUAUGAAUUAAAUUAGUGUUUAAUUUUUAGUAAUGACCAUUUUUGACCAUUUUUGUUGUCAUAAAAACCUUCUUCUUUACAAUACAGAAUAACGAUUGUCAAUAGUAAAUAUUAUGAAAACAACAACUGUUGUAUUUUUCAUCAUUAUAUAGUUUAUGUAUUAUAAUUGUAAAAACAAAACAAAUUUAGCAACUCACAUAGUAAUCAUUCAGCACUGCUUAAAAAUGUAAGUUGAAAAUUAAACUCAUGAUUAAGCAUGAAAUAAGAUACAGAAUCAGUAAAUUCGAUUUUAAUGUGGGUAUAUUAUCAGUAAACUAAUCAUUAAAUAUUUAUAAUCAAUCAAAAAAUAUUGGCCAAUUUCAUAAUGUUGUUCAAAAAUGAAGGGCACAAUGCUAAUGUUGUCCACUCGAUGGCGCCACAGGACAGCAAAUACUUCAAGAUCUGUUCAAAGACUUGAAAAUGUUUCAUUUAUGUAAAUAAAUCAAAAAUGCAUAUACAUUCAUUCUUUUUUCAUAAACUUUAAUAAAGCCCAAUAUAGUAAUUAUGCAAAAACUAUCAUCUCCGAAAUACCAUUACGUUUUUAUCUUAUUUUAAUAGUAUUGACAACAUAUUUCUCAAGUUAUCACGCAUUACUGAAAAAGUGAAGAAGGGACACUAUAUUUGUUAUCUAUUUUUCAUGUUGUGCGCAUAAUAAUUUACUUGAAAAGAGACACGUCCAUUGUUUAACUGCAUCAUCUACACAAACCAUUGUGCUUGGACCCCUUAUGAUCACCUGGACUUAAACCACAUUGUUCCAGUUUUCUUUCUAUGUCUUUGGCCACAACGCUUCAGUGACAGGAAUGUGAAAUAGCAAACAGGGGAACAAAUAAAAGGCAUGACUUUAUUUGCAUCCAGCUAGCCAACUCUAUUACAGGUGUUCCACAGCCAAGACUCUUAUUAGAAUAGAAAAUAGCAAGGGUUCGAAUAAAUAGUUUAUUAAUCAUUUAAUUUAACUUUCUUAAUGAAUAUUGUUCUGUGUAUGUGAUUUCAAAGUCUUGAUGCUUCGGAUUAACCCGUUAAUUGCCGUAUCCCUUAAAACCUGAGUGCCAGAGGAUUACUGUAAAUGCAUGUGCCUGCUGGGCACAGUUUACCUGAUGCCACCGGGGUGGCGUUUGCGCUGAUGGCUUGAGCCCGCCAUCGCUGCUUGCAGCUAUAUUUAUUAUUAUUCUUCUUCUUCUUCUUCUUCUUCUCCAAAAUGAAUCGCAUUUUUGAGGGCCUAAACAUGCUCGAAAAGUCCUGAAACUUUGCACACGCGUCAGACCUGGUGAAAAUUUACGUCUGAUAUAGGUUUCAGAAGAGGGUGUGGCAAAAUGGCUCGACAGCGCCACCUAUCGUAAAAAAAUCAACAGCCC